UCAAUACAAAGAGCUCAAAAGCAGUCUCUUCCAAGAUACAGUGGGAUCAAAAUUUGAUAGAAGAUUCAGGAAGAGUAGUAUCCUAUCCCAGAAAACAUCAGCAACAAUUAGAUCAUAAGAAAAUCAACAUGCUGCCAUACCUUCGCCAUUAUCUCCAAUGACAGAGAAUACCCAACAAAUCAUGAAAAAUAUCAAUAUAAGAGCUUAAAAGCAUCCACUUCCAAGACACAAGG
rnacentral:lncRNA from 1 species